rnacentral:lncRNA from 1 species
GCGUGACUAUGGAGUCCGGCGUGGCAGCGGCACUCUGGCCAAAGUGUGCCUUCAGCCAAAAGCAGAACUGGAAACAUCCUAAGUGGGCUGGUAACGAGGCUAGCUCUGUCGACUAGUUCAAGACCCCUGAGAGCUUUGGGCCUGAAGUUCCUCAGCUUCCAAGUGAAAGGUUUCGACUUGGCAUUCUGGGAGACAGCCUCUGUGACCAUCAGUUUCCUCAUCUGUAAAACUGGCAUCAUGAUAACUUUGAAGGGUUUGGCCCCUGGGAACCAACAGGCCAAUGCGGUUGGCAAUGGCACUGCAAAGAGCUGCAGGGCCAUCUAGUGGCCAGUGGUCUUCACUGCACAUGCGAUGAUGGUUCUAUUCAGCAGUUCCCCAAAACAAAACCAGGUAACACACACCCAGGGUUUCCCCAAUGAGGAUCAACUUUUGCCACUUUCAAACAUUUUAUAAAUGUUUGACAUUUGUUUUAUAAACAUUCCUACAGCUUUGCACUUAAAAAGACUGCCUCACUGUAAAUCUGAAGAUUAACUUUCCAGCCAUUGCAAGGUGAUUUUGGGCCACUGUGUGCCAAAUCAGACAGGCCUGAGUUAGUGCUUGUUGUUGGGUGACUUUGGGCAAGUUACUCAAUCUUCCUGACUUUCCGUUUCCUCUUGUAUAUCAAAGACAGGACUGUUCUGAAGAUGAAGGCAAGUGUGCAUGUCAUGCAUGUGCUACUGUUCUUGACAAAUAAGUGUUUGCUAUGGAUUUAGCGCCUCUAGAAAGUCCAGGCAAGGGGCAGAAACCUAAUCAAACAGGCUGAAGCAAAGGCUUGCUAUACGAAACCUGAGCAACCGAGUGCAGUGACUGACGCCUGUAAUCUCAUCACUUUGGGAGGCCAACACAGAAGGAUCACUUGAAGCCAGGAGUUCAAAACCUGCCUGGUAAACAUGGAGAGACACCCAUCUCUACAAAAAAAUAAAAAAAUUAGCCAGGUGCA